GCAGGCAGGCAGGCAGGCAGGCAGGCAGUUGCAACCAAAGGUUUCAGCAGCUUGUCCUUUUUAUCGCCUAUCCUGGAUGUCCAGAAGGCCAGACUGAGCACUGUGCAGGUGAAGGAGAGGGAGAGAAGUAUGUGGGAGAGAAGCGGAGGUGGGUUUUCCAUGAACUGGGGAAGCUUCUUCCUAAAAUCUCAGAAAGCUUGAACUUUUGUGCUUCCUUCAACAACAGAAUGGCUCUUUAUGCCUGCGUUGCAAGUAAAGGAAUCUAAGUGUACUUCAGUCAGGAAUCAAACAGAUUAAGGAGGAUGGAAUGUAGUACGCUGAGCAUUUAUAAAUAUUUUCACAGAAAGAAGAGUGAGAACAAUACUUGGAUGUAUGUGCCAAAAAGAAGUCAAGAAGCAUUGUGUUCAGAUGUAAAUAGGGAAGCUAAAGGAGCAAUACACAGUAUUUCCUCCUCCAAUUUGUCAUCACCACCACAACCUGUGAAGAAGGUUGAGCUGAGAGCUUAAUGGUUGCACACCUAAUCUGCAGAAAUAAAGAAAGUCAACAUGAGCCUUCCAUUUUGAGAUCUGGGAGCAACAAAGCAUCACUGAUGUGCGGAAGAUACCCUUCACGAUUCAGGAGUGACUGAAUCAUUAUUCAAAGUGCACUUCAAAGCAAAGCCAGGAUUAGUCGGGACAUAUUGUUUCCUUACUAACCAAUGUACCUUGCUGAGAUGGAACAUGAAAUCAGAGAUGGUUCCUGAAGAAUUAGAAUUGAAGAACAGUUGAGUAUCAGAGGCAGCAUUUUUGAAUACCAAUUACUAGUGGUCAUGUAUAGCAUUUGCUCUCCAGACCUGCUGGCUGGCUUCUCAGAUGCUUAUUGACAAUGUUGCAGUAAGACAAAUAAAGACCAAGCCAAAAUACACCAUGGGACAGUAAUAAAUUGUAUCAGCAUGCAAAGAAUAUUCCUGAUUUGCAGAAUGGCGUAAGUUCAAGACCACUUAGCGAUGAGACAGUGGCAGCAGCAACACAAUCAGAACCACCCCUUGAUCAACUCCAUCUCCAGUUGGGGUCGAAAACAUCCACUAGAGAACACUGGUUUGCAUAUUCUGGCUGUAAAUUAUGUGUGUAUUUCAGUAAAUUGACUUUAAAAAUGGCCCAGAUCUUUGUAAUUGAGGAGAUCUCAUCCUAAAGGGGGGGGGGAAGCAGCACAAGCUGGUUAUAUAUGAAAAAACUGAAUUUUUUUCUUUUCUUUUACUGAAGGGGGUGAUAGUAGUGGAUUUCAGCUACUUUCCCAUGUCUUGUACAGGUUAAUAGAAGGGUCAUUGUCAACAUACUUGUAGUGCUGGAAUCUUUUCAAGUUGUCUUGAAAGAGAGGGAGUAAUGAAUAGUAAAGGACCUUUAGGUCAUAGCAAUCCAUCCCUCUUAAAUUCCUGGAAAAUGGUGUUAAGUGGGCCAGAAAUAAGGUAGUUUUGCCACACAAGUUUCUGAAUCCAUACAAUCGGCAUGCAGCAUGUUUCUCUUCUCUCUGCCCUGAUGUCCCCCCCCCCCGGUACAUCUCUAAUUAGAGAUCCAAAUUAGAACUGAAUCAGAACAGAAUUCUAUGCCAAAUUAGAAUAUUUUCCAUCUGUAACAAACCACCAUUCCAAAUAGUGGGUGCCAAGCAUUAUACAUUUUAUACACCCUGGGACUUUUCAAACUGCUGAGCUGAAAUGUAUUCUUAAGCAACCUGGGGACAAUCCUUAUGGGAACUUGGCAGGAAAAAAUUGCCGGGCUGUGUUUGUGGCCAUGGUUAGGUGCAGAUGGGAAAAUGUCUCUUGAAACCAAGGCAGUACCAUUAGACUAAUGAGAGAGGGAGUUAUUUUUGUUCUAAUACACAAAGGGAGGACACAAUUGACCCUUUCAGUUUAUUAGAAUGUCAUUGUCAAUAGCAGGGUGGGGUGGGGGCCAAGCCACAAUCUUAGGCCCCAUGAAUUAUCCCUGGUUAGAAUUGUGUAGAAGGAAUGACUUUCUUUUGGGCAACUAUCACAAAGUAAAUAGAUAUGAUGGGCACUAGAGGUGGAGAGGUAUCAGCAGCCCUUGCUUUUAGUAGUGAAGGAAGUUGAGUUUGAGGACCAGAUGCAAAAGGGACCAUGUAUUGUAAAAACUCUAUUCAUAUUCGUAAGGAUAUGCUCUUCUUCACUGUGCUAAAAAGGCAAGCCAAUUUCAUCCAUCAGAAAAAAAAAAUAAAGAUCAAUGUGCCAUUUAUGGUUAAGCACUGGAAUAAUCAACAUGUCUUAAGUACCAAAAUGCUGGUCCCCGACUCUCUCAAGAUGUUCCCACCAUAUCUACACAUCUUCUGUGUAAUGCCUACAUCUGUGACAUCAGAAGAUUCAUCACUUAGAACAUUUCACAUCUUGGAAUAGGAGACCUUAAAAUUUACUGUACGAAGGUUUUGUUUUUUGUUUUUAUAAAAAAAGGACAUAACAUCUAAUUUUUAAACAAGUUUAUAAUCUCAUGAAUUUUGUUAAUAAAAAAGAAACAACUGAACAAAAUGUUUAUAUUAUCAAGGCAGAGUUGAAUAUAUAUAUAACACAAUUUCUUUGCAAGUCAUUAUCUUGUCAGUAACAUGACUCCAUCAAUUAAACACAUAUAUGUUGAAGGCAGCAUAUGCACUUGUAUUACAGACAUCUAUUAUCUCCCACUGCUAGUCCUUCCAAAAGGAACUCAACGUAUGUCAGACUAUAUAUGCAAAAGUUGUCUCCUCCUCUAUUAAAGUGCAACACAUCACUUUCCAAGUAGACAAAAAAAAAAAAAAAAA